UUUUUAGUUGGGACGUAGUCCCAACUAGUGCACUUACAAACCCGAAAUUUCCAACCAUACAGGGUAACGCCCACUGCUGUGACGUUUCAUCGCCACUCUAAAUGCUAUAUUGUAUUCUAACAUAUCAACGUAAGCUGAAUUCAUAGUGAUCACCCGACCAUGACCGACGCAUAACCGCCGCGAGUGAAAAAUAGUGCUCUGAAUUUCUGAAAACUUCGAUUUAUUGCGAACAGAAGUGGAGACAAGAAAUUGAUUUUUUGAAAAUAAUGUGCAAUUGAGCUUGAAUUACGGUAUUAGAAACGUAGCGGAUAUAAUUUGAAAGGUCACAUAAUUCUAUGAAUGGGAUAGUAAAUUAAUUGGGUCAUAGUGCUUGACCGCUUGCAAUAUUUAACUUACUCAUCCGCCUUAUCAUCACAUUUUUUUGUAUUAUAUUCCAGAAUUUUUGAAAAAGACAUUAUUUAUCGGAUAAAUUUUGUAGUUUAUAAUUGCAAAGUGGAUAUUGAAAUAGAAUUAGCCAGAGAUGUAAAUAAUCUAUUCGUCUCUGAAUUAGCCGAUAAUUAGGUUAAAUGAAUCCGACAACUUCCGGUAUACUUUUCGACCUACUUCACGAGCAUAAUUAGCAGCCUGUUAAGCUCAUAAGGGAAAUAAAAGAUUAUUUACUUUAAUAUUCACUUGGAAAGGCUGGUACAUGUAGCUAGAAAAAAGUACAGUAUAAGAUUAAAGGAAGACUAGAAGAUUAUUACAAACAACAGGUGGACAUGUGUCACUGUCAAGCGAAUGAAGAUAAGCAUCACACUCGGUGGGAAUCUCCAGUUUCCAGAUGUAGUGAUCAUAACUGUAUAGGCACCAUUAACACUUUGGACUAGUUGGAGUAUUUUAGAGGGCUAGUCUGAAUUGAAUCCCCUGUCAAUAGUAAAGGCCAGUCAUGAACAUUGUGUUGAAGGAAAAUGUUAAAACUCGGAUUUUCCGCUUAACCAAUCAUUACUUUACCUUAUAUUCAGUGCGGUAAUGUAGGAAAUGGUUACUUUCUGGAACGGAGCUGUCAAUUAUUUUUAAUUUUUUAGCUUGUUAGUGUUAUCGUCGGACAGUUGUGAAGUAAAGACAUCGCAGUUUGAGUGUAUACAAGUUGCCUUAAAGAAAGUAUGUCGAAAUCUUAACAGUUAUUCGUUGAUUUUGUAGAAAUUGACCAGAGUUCACCUUUGUUUACACGCAUCGCUUGGACGUCGAAAACGACAUGCAAUGACAUUUCAGUGAAAUUUGGAAACUUGCUCGUAUUGUGGAGCAUUUUGUAGGAUUUCGAUGAAGUAAAAAGUGUUUAUGAUAGGAUACAUUAUUCCUAGAGACAACCACAAAGAUAAAAUAGUGAUCUGGUGUAUUUUUACCGAACAGUUCUUGUUUGUUUUGCAUGAUAUAUUUCUCUCGUUAGGGACCUUUAUUCUUUAUAUAUAGUAUUAUGAGCGUAUAUGGGUAAAUGUGGUAUAUAGUGCCUGUGGUUUUAACAUGUAUCUUAGCUUGCCUGGUGUAAUGAUAAGUAAUAAACCUGAGAAUUGAAACUAUGAGAAUAAAUUGUUGUUAUUAGUCCCCUUCUAUUUUCAUUAAGAGGGGACUAAAGGCUGACCCAUUUCUGUAUGUCAAUGAAAAGCU